UCGAAUGGGUGCUGGGCAAGAUGCCUCGGU
rnacentral:piRNA from 1 species